AACCCACCAAGGGAUGCUUUAUUUAAAUAGUUCCAAGUAGGGGAGACCAGCUGCCCCUGAACCCCAGAACAACCAGCUGGAUCAAUUCUCAUAGGAGCCACAGCGCGGAGACUGUGAAACAUGGUUCCAAAACUGUUCACUUCCCAAAUUUGUCUGCUUCUUCUGUUGGGGCUUCUGGCUGUGGAGGGCUCACUCCAUGUCAAACCUCCACAGUUUACCUGGGCUCAGGGGUUUGACGUCCAUCAGUAGGAACCAGCUCCAAUGCACCAAUGCAAUGCGGGUAAUUAACAAUUAUCAACGGCGAUGGAAAAACCAAAAUACUUUUCUUCUUGCAACUUUUGCUAAUGUAGUUAAUGUUUGUGGUAACCCAACUAUAACCUGCCCUCAUAACAGAACUCUCAACAAUUGUCAUCAUAGUGGAGUCCAGGUGCCUUUAAUGUACUGUAACCUCACAACUCCAAGUCCACAGAAUAUUUCAAACUGCAGGUAUGCGCAGACACCAGCAAACAUGUUCUAUAUAGUUGCAUGUGACAACAGGGAUCAACGACGGGACCCUCCACAGUAUCCAGUGGUUCCAGUUCACCUGGAUACCAUCAUCUAAGCUCCUGUAUCAGCACUCCUCGUCAUCACUCAUCUGCCAAGCUCCUCAAUCAUAGCCAAGAUCCCAUCCCUCCAUGUACUCUGGGUGUCAGCAUCUGUCCUCUUCAGUCUCUAUACCCCUUCCACUUGCCUGAGCUGAAGUGCCUUGUGAAGCCUGCAAUAAACUGCUUUGCAAAUUCAUCU
ensembl:lncRNA RNASE2CP ribonuclease A family member 2C, pseudogene